rnacentral:rRNA from 1 species
GUGGGGAAUCUUCCACAAUGGACGAAAGUCUGAUGGAGCAACGCCGCGUGAGUGAAGAAGGGUUUCGGCUCGUAAAGCUCUGUUGUCGGGGACGAAUGUGCAGUAUUUGAAUAAAGUACUGUAAUGACGGUACCUGACGAGGAAGCCACGGCUAACUACGUGCCAGCAGCCGCGGUAAUACGUAGGUGGCAAGCGUUGUCCGGAAUUAUUGGGCGUAAAGGGAGCGCAGGCGGGAAGGUAAGUCGGUCUUAAAAGUGCGGGGCUCAACCCCGUGAUGGGAUCGAAACUAUCUUUCUUGAGUGCAGGAGAGGAAAGUGGAAUUCCUAGUGUAGCGGUGAAAUGCGUAGAUAUUAGGAGGAACACCAGUGGCGAAGGCGACUUUCUGGACUGUAACUGACGCUGAGGCUCGAAAGCCAGGGGAGCGAACGGGAUUAGAUACCCGAGUAGUCC